rnacentral:rRNA from 1 species
GUUCCAUCCUCUUUUUAAUACCGGCAGCCCGAGUGAUGGCCGAUCUUAUUGGGCCUAAAGCGUCCGUAGCUGGGUCUGAAAGUCCAUCGGGAAAUCCACUCGCUCAACGAGUGGCCGUCCGGUGGAAACUCCACACCUUGGGACCGGAAGGCUCGAAGGGUACGGCCGGGGUAGGAGUGAAAUCCUGUAAUCCCGUCCGGACCACCGAUGGCGAAAGCACUUCGAGAAAACGGAUCCGACAGUGAGGGACGAAAGCUAAGAUCGCGAACCGGAUUAGAAACCCGAGUAGUCC